rnacentral:rRNA from 1 species
CCUGCCCUCCAGUUGGGGACAACAUUCCGAAAGGGAUGCUAAUACCGAAUGUCCUCCCUCCUCCGCAUGGAGGAGGGAGGAAAGAUGGCCUCUGCUUGCAAGCUAUCGCUGGAAGAUGGGCCCGCGUCUGAUUAGCUAGUUGGUGGGGUAACGGCUCACCAAGGCGAUGAUCAGUAGCCGGUCUGAGAGGAUGAACGGCCACAUUGGGACUGAGACACGGCCCAA